rnacentral:rRNA from 1 species
AGUCGAACGGGAAAUAUUUCAUUGAGACUUCGGUGGAUUUGAUCUAUUUCUAGUGGCGGACGGGUGAGUAACGCGUGGGUAACCUGCCUUAUACAGGGGGAUAACAGUCAGAAAUGGCUGCUAAUACCGCAUAAGCGCACAGAGCUGCAUGGCUCAGUGUGAAAAACUCCGGUGGUAUAAGAUGGACCCGCGUUGGAUUAGCUAGUUGGUGGGGUAACGGCCCACCAAGGCGACGAUCCAUAGCCGGCCUGAGAGGGUGAACGGCCACAUUGGGACUGAGACACGGCCCAGACUCCUACGGGAGGCAGCAGUGGGGAAUAUUGCACAAUGGGGGAAACCCUGAUGCAGCGACGCCGCGUGAAGGAAGAAGUAUCUCGGUAUGUAAACUUCUAUCAGCAGGGAAGAUAGUGACGGUACCUGACUAAGAAGCCCCGGCUAACUACGUGCCAGCAGCCGCGGUAAUACGUAGGGGGCAAGCGUUAUCCGGAUUUACUGGGUGUAAAGGGAGCGUAGACGGUGUGGCAAGUCUGAUGUGAAAGGCAUGGGCUCAACCUGUGGACUGCAUUGGAAACUGUCAUACUUGAGUGCCGGAGGGGUAAGCGGAAUUCCUAGUGUAGCGGUGAAAUGCGUAGAUAUUAGGAGGAACACCAGUGGCGAAGGC